UACGAAGGGGGCUAGCGUUGCUCGGAAUCACUGGGCGUAAAGGGUGCGUAGGCGGGUCUUUAAGUCAGGGGUGAAAUCCUGGAGCUCAACUCCAGAACUGCCUUUGAUACUGAGGAUCUUGAGUUCGGGAGAGGUGAGUGGAACUGCGAGUGUAGAGGUGAAAUUCGUAGAUAUUCGCAAGAACACCGGUGGCGAAGGCGGCUCACUGGCCCGAUACUGACGCUGAGGCACGAAAGCGUGGGGAGCAAACGGG
rnacentral:rRNA from 1 species